GACGAACGCUGGCGGCGUGCUUAACACAUGCAAGUCGAACGAGGUCCAACCGGUGGCAACACCGGAGAAGACCUAGUGGCGAACGGGUGAGUAACACGUGAGGAACCUGCCCCGAAGUCUGGGAUAACCCCCCGAAAGGGGAGCUAAUACCGGAUGCCCCCAUCUGAUCGCAUGUUCGGAUGAGGAAAGGAUUCUGCUUCGGGAGGGCCUCGCGGCCUAUCAGCUUGUUGGUGAGGUAACGGCUCACCAAGGCGACGACGGGUAGCUGGUCUGAGAGGAGGAGCGGCGACACUGGGACUGAGACACGGCCCAGACUCCUACGGGAGGCAGCAGUGGGGAAUCUUGCGCAAUGGGCGAAAGCCUGACGCAGCAACGCCGCGUGCGGGAUGGCGGCCUUCGGGUUGUAAACCGCUUUCAGUGGGGACGAAACAAGACGGUACCCACAGAAGAAGCCCCGGCCAACUACGUGCCAGCCGCCGCCGUAAGAC
rnacentral:rRNA from 1 species